UUUCCGCCAGGACUUUAUUAAACGCGCUGUGUGGUGUGUGGAGUGUGGUGUGUGGGCGAGGAGACCCUGUGCAAAGAUAUGACGGGAUUAGUUGGCCAAUCAGCGAAGGCAGGCAACUGGGAUUUUGUGGCCUGCUGCACAACCUCAUCAGCGCUUUGAGUUUGGGCUUGGGUUUGCGUUGCCAUGGCUAGCAAUGCCAAAUGCCAAAUGCCGAUUGACGACCAACCCAUACAGCACCACUGCCACCACCACCACCACCAACAGGAAGAGAUAUCCUUCCGAGGGCAGAAGACUCACUCACACAGAAAGAGGAAGUCGGAGAUGGAGAUGGAGAUGGAGACGGAGAGCUUAGGCCGCAUUAAACCUUUUUCCUCAAUAAUGUUGUUUUUGUCCUCUCCCCACCCGCCUUUUCCCCUAUCCCCCUGACAACAUCGCCAUGCUCUACGCUCAAAGGCUCUUUUAUUUUGGUGAGUCGUGGGCUGGGUCGGUUUCCCCCUAGGAGAGAUGCUUAGCCUCGGCUAAGAAGCAUUCUCGUUCUGGUCGUCUGCUGGAAUUACGCCGCUUGGAUUUCAAGUGCUGCCUGCCACUUGUUGUUGCAGCAAAUGUUACACAAAAGUUACAGCAGCAGCCAGUCGGAGGUCUCCCCUCGUUGGAUCCCAGGCACCAAAGAUCCAGAACAGAACUGCGGUUCCAUAGUUGCAAGUUGCCUGAGGCCGAGAGCCGUAGACGCCAGUCGAGUAUAACAGAAUUUUUGCACUGAACCCUAAACGAGGGGUGGUUCGGGG
rnacentral:lncRNA from 1 species